rnacentral:rRNA from 1 species
AUGCACGCUGGCGGCGUGCCUCAUACAUGCAAGUCGAGCGCACGGACGAGAAGCUUGCUUCUCUGAUGUUAGCGGCGGACGGGUGAGUAACACGUGGAUAACCUACCUAUAAGACUGGGAUAACUUCGGGAAACCGUAGCUAAUACCGGAUAAUAUUUUGAACAGCAUGGUUCAAAAGUGAAAGACGGUCUUGCUGUCACUUAUAGAUGGAUCCGCGCUGCAUUAGCUAGUUGGUAAGGUAACGGCUUACCAAGGCAACGAUGCAUAGCCGACCUGAGAGGGUGAUCGGCCACACUGGAACUGAGACACGGUCCAGACUCCUACGGGAGGCAGCAGUAGGGAAUCUUCCGCAAUGGGCGAAAGCCUGACGGAGCAACGCCGCGUGAGUGAUGAAGGUCUUCGGAUCGUAAAACUCUGUUAUUAGGGAAGAACAUAUGUGUAAGUAACUGUGCACAUCUUGACGGUACCUAAUCAGAAAGCCACGGCUAACUACGUG